CAGCAGCAGCCGCGGUAAUACAGAGGGUGCGAGCGUUAAUCGGAUUUACUGGGCGUAAAGCGUGCGUAGGCGGCUUCUUAAGUCGGAUGUGAAAUCCCUGAGCUUAACUUAGGAAUUGCAUUCGAUACUGGGAAGCUAGAGUAUGGGAGAGGAUGGUAGAAUUCCAGGUGUAGCGGUGAAAUGCGUAGAGAUCUGGAGGAAUACCGAUGGCGAAGGCAGCCAUCUGGCCUAAUACUGACGCUGAGGUACGAAAGCAUGGGGAGCAAACAGGAUUAGAGACCCGCGUAGUCCCUGUCUCUUAUAC
rnacentral:rRNA from 1 species